rnacentral:rRNA from 1 species
GUGCAAUGGCAUAAGCCAGCUUGACUGCGAGCGUGACGGCGCGAGCAGGUGCGAAAGCAGGUCAUAGUGAUCCGGUGGUUCUGAAUGGAAGGGCCAUCGCUCAACGGAUAAAAGGUACUCCGGGGAUAACAGGCUGAUACCGCCCAAGAGUUCAUAUCGACGGCGGUGUUUGGCACCUCGAUGUCGGCUCAUCACAUCCUGGGGCUGAAGUAGGUCCCAAGGGUAUGGCUGUUCGCCAUUUAAAGUGGUACGCGAGCUGGGUUUAGAACGUCGUGAGACAGUUCGGUCCCUAUCUGCCGUGGGCGCUGGAGAACUGAGGGGGGCUGCUCCUAGUACGAGAGGACCGGAGUGGACGCAUCACUGGUGUUCGGGUUGUCAUGCCAAUGGCACUGCCCGGUAGCUAAAUGCGGAAGAGAUAAGUGCUGAAAGCAUCUAAGCACGAAACUUGCCCCGAGAUGAGUUCUCCCUGAGACUUAGAGUCUCCUGAAGGAACGUUGAAGACGACGACGUUGAUAGGCCGGGUGUGUAAGCGCAGCGAUGCGUUGAGCUAACCGGUACUAAUGAACCGUGAGGCUUAACCUUACAACGCCG